GCCGAAGUGGUGGAAUUUUGGUAGACACGCUGUCUUGAGGGGGCAGUGGGUGGACGCCCGUGCGGGUUCGAGUCCCGCCUUCGGCA
rnacentral:tRNA from 1 species